GAAGAUGUCACUGUUUACAAAAUUCACUUUUUUUAUUUUAAAGGAACUGGUAAUGGGACAUUUUACUUGCGCUUUGAAACCCGUUUUCAAGAGCUUGUAUUUUUUAGGCUCCCAAAACGCCGACCGCUGUUAUCGUGUAAAUGAACAGACAAAGCGCAUUUUCCGUUUUUAGUUGCAGACGUCGCUGAAUCUGCCCCACAGUCAGUAAAAUUUGCUCCUCCAACCAAACAGAAAUUCACCUUUAGUGAAACUCCUCCCACUUGUAUUAAAGAAAGUCAAAAACAUGACUGAUCCAGAUCCCUGCAGAAUAAAACAGGAAGACACUGAAGAAAAAAAUUGACCUGAAAGAAGAGAACAAGGAGAUUGAAGAACUGACUGAAGUAGAAGAGAAACAUAAUGUAAAAACUGAAGAAACGUCCUCAAGUCUCUCAUUGAAAAGAAGAGAUGACAUAUAUUUCACUUGUCCUCAGUGUGGAAAGAGUUUCUCAUUCAAGAAAAAUCUUGAUGUUCACAUAAAAUGUCAUCUUGAUGGGUUUUCAGAUGACCUGAAGGACCACCUGAAAAUUUAUGCAAGGGAGAAGAAGCCUUAUGAAUGUAAUUUAUGUGGAAAUAGUUUUAUUCAGAUGAAUGUAUUUAAAAUGCACCAGAUAAGACACAGCGAUGUGAAGAAUCAUAUUUGCUCUGAGUGUGGGAAGACCUUUUUUACUGAUGGAGCACUGGAAGUGCACCUGAUAGUUCACACUACAGAAACACCUUACAAGUGUUCACACAAGUGUUCACACCAAGAGAUUCAAAUGGUCAAUAUAUGUGAAAAGACAUGAGCGAAUCCACACUGGAGAGAAACCAUACACAUGUGAUCAGUGUGGGAAGAGUUUCAGACUAAAAGGACUUCUUAACAAACACAUGAAAAUCCACACUGGAGAGAAACCAUAUACAUGUGAUCAGUGUGGGAAGAGUUUUGGACGAAAUGGAAAUCUUAACAAACACAUGAAAAUCCACACUGGAGAGAAGCCGUACAAAUGUGAUCAGUGUGGGAGGGUUUUACACAAAAGGACCUCCUAAAUGUUCACAUGACAAUCCACACUGGAGAGAAGCCGUACACAUGUGAUCAGUUUCAUAAUAUCAAGUGUUUUUAAGAUGCAUCUGCGUACUCAUUCAAAUGAAAGACUUUAUAACUGUGACCAGUGUGGUAAACAUUUCUUUAGAACAGGCGCCCUAAAUAGACAUCUGAAAGUUCAUACAAAGGAGAAGCCUCAUCUGUGUUCUUUGUGUGGAAAGAGUUUUAGUGAAUGGGAUGCUUUAAAAAUACACCAGAAAAGACACAGCGGUG